rnacentral:tRNA from 1 species
UAGGAAGUGGUGUAGUGGAAGCACUAGGAGUUUUGAUCUCCUCUGAUUGGGUUCGAGUCCCUUCUUUCUAA